AUGAAUCAUCAUAAGGAAAAGCACAACAAUAUGGAAUAUGACCUUGAAAUAAGUUCAGGUCGAAUUUUGUUUGGUUUUGCUUAUAAUGGACCACCUGACGUGUCCUUGUUUGGCCGAAUGGAUGGUAGUGAAAAGAUCACGCCAAAAUGUACAAAAAAAGAUUGCAAUCUCUGCAGCAAAUGUCUGACGCGCAAGAGCCAUCUGAAAGCAGCAAGCACGGCCAGCAAAACUCCAGCCCAGAAAUCAGUCCCAGGUCGAGAUCACUCACCAAAUAUAAACAUCCAAUCAAAGAAAAUACUAUGGGCAAUCAACAUGAACUCGGAAAUUAAGAUGAAUUGCAUCACCUCCGUUGCAAUUUUCGAGCGGGUAAUCAACAGCGUGAGACUAAUAGAACAGAACAAAUUCUAA
rnacentral:rRNA from 1 species